ensembl:lncRNA
CACACACACAGAGGAUGAAAUAAGGGAUUCCUUCCGCUCUCCAAUCCCAUCUGUUUGACACACAGAGGAGGGUUGGGGGAGGGAGGGAGGGAGGGAGGGAGGGAUGGAGAGAGAGACACAGAGAGUGAGAGAGAACGAGGCUGAAGUGGAGAGAGGAGAGGAGAGGAGGGGGAGGGGCUGUUUAGAGAAAGGCAGCCACUAGAGGGGAAAAAAGAAGGGAAAAAAAGAAAAGAGGCAGGCUUGCUCCUAGCUGGGGGUUGGGCUUAAGUGUGUGUGUGUGUGUGUGUGUGUGAGCAUGUGUAUGUGAGAGCGAGCGAGAGAGAGAGAGAGAGAGAGAGCGCACCCUGCUCCUUCCCUUUCUUUGUUUGACUACUGAGUGCAGGAAAAAAAAGCAAUCGAGAGAAAGUGUGUAUGCAUGCAUGCGUGUGUGUGUGUAUGUAUGUAUGUGUGUGUGUGAGGGGGGGGUGACAGAGAGGCAAGAAAGAAAGGAGAGGAAACAGUGAAGACCACUCUCCUCCUUCUGAGGGCUGCGGAGAGCGAGCAAGCGAACGAGGGAGAGAGAGAGGAAGCACAAAUGCUGGAUAGAUUUGCUGAGCUGGACGCGACUGGCUGACACACACAAACACACACACACACACACGCACUCUGGACUGUGGAUUUAACUCCAGUGAAAACUCAACUGCUGCGGCGGCUGCUCCUAAAACCGAAGGUAGGACAUGCUUCUCUUGUUAACAACACAAGCUUUGGUCUUCUCUCUUCUCUUCUCUUAUCUCCUUAGAUACUCUCUUUCUUUAUCUCUGUCUCUCUUCCCUUCCUCAUCUCUGUUGUCCAUGGUGCUGUCUCUCACUUUUUGUGGAACCAAGACAAACAACAAAAUAAACAAACAAACAAACAAAAAAAUCCCAGCAAGAGAGAAAGACACAAAGGAGGGAGAGAGAGAAAGUUGCGGCCAGAGAGGUGGAGAGGAGGAGGAGGAGGAGGAGGAGGAGGAGGAGGCGGCUGACAUGAGUGGGAAAAAGGAGAGAGAGGAAUGCAAGCACAAAGGGAGUCUGUGUGUAGCGGCCAGAGUCUCUCUCCCGGCCCCAGUGCUAUUUCUGUUGUCACGCGUUACCGUGGCGGCUGUCGCCAACGCCGACACUGCUGCUCAGCCAAGAGAAGCAAAACCGGGAGAGCCCUUUUUCCUCCACUCUUUGUUUUCCUUUGGGUUUUCAUUCCCCCUAGCGCUCUUUUCUUCGCCCCGUCUCUCUCUUUCUCCCACUCUCUUUCUCCCCCUCUGUCAGCUUUUUUUUUUUCUUCUUUCUGCUGCGUUUGUGUGUUUUACCUGAUUGCCGAGUGUUAUCUGGAUGAUACAAAGGGCGAGGGGCUCUGCUCUCCUCUGCUCCGCUGACUGGGCUAGCCGCUGCUAACGGCUAAGCUAAGGCUAACUCCCACCCCAUUGUGUUUGCAGCCGGCCAUGUCCUCAGUGCCCCUUCCGCGCUAGGCUAGCACCGCUUAGCCGCUGUUGUGUCUCUAGGCUUGUCUCUGGAGCCCCCUCACUGCUUUCAGUGCGCGUAUUGUGAAGUGUGUGUGUGUAUUGUGUAGUGUGUGUGUGUGUGUGUGUGUGUGUGUGUGUGUGUGUGUGUG